AAGAACUUGCCGCCGGGUAAGUUAAAAGCGUUGACUUUUGCAUCAGUAGGCCUUGUAGAUGCAAAAUAUCAGCGCUUUUCUUAU
rnacentral:ncRNA from 1 species